rnacentral:rRNA from 1 species
UCUUGGUCAUUUAGAGGAAGUAAAAGUCGUAACAAGGUUUCCGUAGGUGAACCUGCGGAAGGAUCAUUACCGAGUUAGGGUACUCUUCGUGCCCGACCUCCAACCCUUUGUCUACCUGACCAGAUGUUGCUUCGGCAGGCCCGCCGCUCCGCGAGGGGUGGCCGCCGGGGGCCCUUACCGGCCCCGGGUCCGCGCCUGUCGAUGGCCCCUUCUAAACAAACUCUUGAUUAAACCGUGUCGUCUGAGUAAAACAAACAAAAUAAAAACAAAACUUUCAACAACGGAUCUCUUGGUUCUGGCAUCGAUGAAGAACGCAGCGAAAUGCGAUAAGUAAUGCGAAUUGCAGAAUCCGUGAGUCAUCGAAUCUUUGAACGCAUAUUGCGCCCUCUGGUAUUCCGGGGGGCAUGCCUGUUCGAGCGUCAUUAUCACCCCUCAAGCCCGGCUUGUUGUUGGACGUCGGCGGCGGCCUUCAGUGGCGUACCGCCCGUCUCAAAGAUAAUGACGGCGUCUGUGAGGACACCUGUACACUGAGCUUCCGGGCACGUACUANGCUGACACUCGCAGACCCGGUCUCUAGGGUUCGCCUCGGCGACCCUAACUUUUUACCAAGGUUGACCUCGGAUCAGGUAGGAAUACCCGCUGAACUUAAGCAUAUCAAUAAGCGGAGGAA